rnacentral:rRNA from 1 species
UCCAGCUCCAAUAGCGUAUAUUAAAGUUGUUGCAGUUAGAACGCUCGUAGUCGGAUUUCGGGGCGGGCCGGCCGGUCUGCCGAUGGGUAUGCACUGGUCGGCGCGUCCUUCCUUCCGGAGACCGUCCCUACUCUUAACUGAGCGGGGGCGGGAGACGGGACUUUUACUUUGAAAAAAUCAGAGUGUUUCAAGCAGGCAGCUCGCUCUUGCAUGGAUUAGCAUGGGAUAAUGAAAUAGGACUUUGGUGCUAUUUUGUUGGUUUCGAACACCGAAGUAAUGAUGAGAAGGGACAGUCAGGGGCACUCGUAUUCCGCCGAGAGAGGUGAAAUUCUCAGACCAGCGGAAGACGAACCACUGCGAAAGCAUUUGCCAGGGAUGUUUUCACUGAUCAAGAACGAAAGUUAGGGGAUCGAAGACGAUCAGAUACCGUCGUAGUCUUAACCAUAAACCAUGCCGACUAGGGAUCGGAGGAUGUUCACUUAUUGACUCCUUCGGCACCUUACGGGAAACUAAAGUCUUUGGGUUCCGGGGGGAGUAUGGUCGCAAGGCUGAAACUUAAAGGAAUUGACGGAAGGGCACCACCAGGUGUGGAGCCUGCGGCUUAAUUUGACUCAACACGGGGAAACUUACCAGGUCCAGACAUUGUGAGGAUUGACAGAUUGAGAGCUCUUUCUUGAUUUAAUGGGUGGUGGUGCAUGGCCGUUCUUAGUUGGUGGAGUGAUUUGUCUGGUUAAUUCCGUUAACGAACGAGACCUUAGCCUGCUAAAUAGUGACGCGAACACUUCGUUCGCGGCCACUUCUUAGAGGGACAACUUGUCUUCAACAAGUGGAAGUUUGAGGCAAUAAC